rnacentral:rRNA from 1 species
GACGAACGCUGGCGGCGUGCUUAACACAUGCAAGUCGAACGGAGAGGCCCUUCCCUUUUGGGUUGCUCGGGUGGCGAACGGGUGAGUAACAUGUGAGUAACCUGCCCUUGCCUCUGGGAUAGCUUCAGGAAAUUGGGGCUUAUCCCAUACAGGAUCUCCUGGUUCAUUGGCGGGGUGGGUCAGGUUCGGCGGUUGUGGCUGUGGUCGCGGCUUAUCAGGCUUUUGGUGGGGUAGUUGCUUACCAAGGCUUCGACGGGUGGGCGGCCUGAGAGGGUGUGCGGCACGGUUGGGACUGAGACACGGGCCAGACUCCUACGGGAGGGAGCAGUGGGGGAUAUUGCGCAAUGGGCGGAAGGCUGAUGCAGCAAAGCCGCGUGGGGGAUGAAGGCCUUCGGGUUGUAAACCGCGUUCGCCUGUGACGUAGCGGGGGUGACGGUAAUGGGUAAAGAAGCACCGGCUAACUACGUG